rnacentral:rRNA from 1 species
CGGUUAGUCCUUGGCGUACAGAUUGUAACGCUGGCGGCGAUGCUUUACUACAUGCAAGUCGGACGGCAGCACAGAGAAGCUUGCUUCUUGGGUGGCGAGUGGCGAACGGGUGAGUACAUAUCGGAACGUACCGGGCGAGUGGGGAGUAACUAAUCGAAAGAUUAGCUAAUACCGCAUAUUUUCUGAGGAAGAAAGCAGGGGACCAUUUGGCCUUGCGCUGUUUGAGCGGCCGAUAUCUGAUUAGCUAGUUGGUGGGGUAAAGGCCUACCAAGGCGACGAUCAGUAGCGGGUCUGAGAGGAUGAUCCGCCACACUGGGACUGAGACACGGCCCAGACUCCUACGGGAGGCAGCAGUCGGGGAAUUUUGGACAAUGGGCGCAAGCCUGAUCCAGCCAUGCCGCGUGUCUGAAGAAGGCCUUCGGGUUGUAAAGGACUUUUGUCAGGGAAGAAAAGGGCGGGGUUAAUACCCCUGUCUGAUGACGGUACCUGAAGAAUAAGCACCGGCUAACUACGUG